rnacentral:rRNA from 1 species
GAUGAACGCUGGCGGCGUGCCUAAUACAUGCAAGUCGAGCGAACAGACGAGGAGCUUGCUCCUUUGACGUUAGCGGCGGACGGGUGAGUAACACGUGGAUAACCUACCUAUAAGACUGGGAUAACUUCGGGAAACCGGAGCUAAUACCGGAUAAUAUAUUGAACCGCAUGGUUCAAUAGUGAAAGACGGUUUUGCUGUCACUUAUAGAUGGAUCCGCGCCGCAUUAGCUAGUUGGUAAGGUAACGGCUUACCAAGGCAACGAUGCGUAGCCGACCUGAGAGGGUGAUAGGCCACCCUGGAACGGAGACACGGUCCAGACUCCUGCGGGAGGCAGCAGUAGGGAAUCUUACGCAGUGGGCGAAAGCCUGACGGAGCAACGCCGCGUGAGUGAUGAAGGUCUUCGGAGCGUAAAACUCUGUUAUGAGGGAAGAACAAAUGUGUAAGUAACUAUGCACGUCUUGACGGUACCUAAUCAGAAAGCCACGGCUAACUACGUG